rnacentral:snRNA from 1 species
UUUUAUUCAUUAUGUUUGG